UACGUAGGGGGCAAGCGUUGUCCGGAAUCAUUGGGCGUAAAGAGCGUGUAGGCGGCCCGGUAAGUCCGCUGUGAAAGUCCAGGGCUCAACCCUGGAAUGCCGGUGGAAACUGUCGGGCUAGAGUCCGGAAGAGGCGAGUGGAAUUCCUGGUGUAGCGGUGAAAUGCGCAGAUAUCAGGAGGAACACCAAUGGCGAAGGCAGGUCUCUGGGCCACUACUGACGCUGAGAAGCGAAAGCAUGGGGAGCGAACAGG
rnacentral:rRNA from 1 species